rnacentral:rRNA from 1 species
GGAUAAUCUACCCUUAGGACUGGGAUAACCCUGGGAAACUGGGGCUAAUACCGGAUAGGCAAUUUUUCCUGCAAUGGUUUUUUGUUUAAAUGUUUUUUCGCCUAAGGAUGAGUCUGCGGCCGAUUAGGUAGUUGGUUAGGUAAUGGCUUACCAAGCCGGUGAUCGGUACGGGUUGUGAGAGCAAGAGCCCGGAGAUGGAACCUGAGACAAGGUUCCAGGCCCUACGGGGUGCAGCAGGCGCGAAACCUCCGCAGUGUGAGAAAUCGCGACGGGGGGAUCCCAAGUGCCAUUCUUAACGGGAUGGCUUUUCAUUAGUGUAAAGAGCUUUUGGAAUAAGAGCGGGGCAAGACCGGUGCCAGCCGCCGCGGUAACACCGGCAGCUCUAGUGGUAACAAUUUUUAUUGGGCCUAAAGCGUCCGUAGCCGGUUUAAUAAGUCUCUGGUGAAGUCCUGUAGCUUAACUGUGGGAAUUGCUGGAGAUACUAUUAGACUUGAGACCGGGAGAGGUUAGAGGUACUCCCAGGGUAGAGGUGAAAUUCUGUAAUCCUGGGAGGACCGCCUGUUGCGAAGGCGUCUAACUGGAACGGUUCUGACGGUGAGGGACGAAAGUUAGGGGCGCGAACCGGAUUAGAUACCCGGGUAGUCCUAACUGUAAACGAUGCGGACUUGGUGUUGGGGGUGGCUUUGAGCUGCUCCAGUGCCGAAAGGGAAGCUGUUAAGUCCGCCGCCUGGGAAG